GGAGAGCUUCCCGGAAACGCAGUGGCUCUGCACCGGGUCAACAGGCAGCUGAAAGGCUGUUCAUGACCCAUGGCCAGGCUGCCCAGAGACCUGACACCACUAGAAUCACUGAGUGCAUUUGCCUCAAGCUACUAAAAGAAUACCAACAAGCGAGGAACCGACCAAAAGACUGCAAGGGAAAAGUUCUGCCCAUUCCACAGUCAAUUGUGCAAACCUACUGCCAUGUUAAACAGCUGCUUGAAGACUGCCAGCCCAUACAAGAUAAGACCAACUUGUUGUUAGUCACCAUCAACAACACCACAGUAUGUGCCUAGCUACAUGGGCGACAGAAAAGAACAGACCGAGACACUCUUCUGCAAGGAGUACAGCUUCCACAGAAGGUGUCUGUGGCUGAAAAUUCCCUGCCAGAUCCAAGACAGCUCCCCUCUAUUCCUGUUGAACAUGGACAUAAAUGCAUGGAGUUUCAGGAACCUGAAAAUCGUGAAGGCGAGGCAGUGAUACGUCCACGCGUUGGUGGUAAAACUGGCUCUUCAAAGCAUUGUCCUCCUUAUCCUAAGACUGCUUUGUCAUUAUCAUGCCAGCAAGGUCACUCUUCACCAGGCCCAGCUCCUACCUGCUUCUUGUAUGCACAGAGUCAGCAGCCACAAUCACCUGCUUGGCCUUAUUAUGAGCAGAAUCAGAUGCCAAAACCCCAAUCUGCUUCCAGUUUCUGCUACUGUCCAUCAGCCCCAGUGUGGACCUCAUCUGGACAAGGACAGUUCCCACCGCUGGCUAUUCCUCUAUCUUCAUUGCAUCAGUGCUGUACACCACCACUUCAUGCAUCAGCUCUGGCACCUGCUGCUGAUGUAGCAGCAUCUUCAUCAUCAAAUCAGCUUUCAGCAAACAUAAAUCGUCACAGGAGAUGGAGACAGAAUAGGGCAGAACUAGAAGACCAGGAACGUCUGGCAAGGGGGGAGCCUCCCAAAAAGCGGCAAUGGAAACAGGACUACCACUAUCAAUGUUCAGUUUGUGGUCAGGCCAAAAACAAAACGACUGGUCAUACACAGAUUAGGGGAAAGUGGUACUGUCCAGCCUCUGGACAGACUAUUUUGCAAUGGAAGGAAACUUUCAGCAAGCAGUGAAAGCUAAGAAAGAUUUUCUUUGUAUAAUGGUUAGUUUGUUACUCUGAUGUUCUAAUGCAAAAUGUUUUUAGGCAUUUGAUUGACACUGUCUUUUGUUUAAACAAUUUUAUUUACGCUUGAUGUGCUCAGUCUAGUGCUGAAAAUGUGUGAAAUCUAGAAUAAUUUCACAGUUGGGCCUGUAUGUUUUAGUCAGCCUUUGGACAGUGCUUAACACAUGUCCAGUUAUAGUGACAGAUCAGUGUACGUGGUUGUGUAAGAACAGGUUUAAUAAAUGUCGCUGAUCAUAAUUUGAUUGUGUGUUGUGUGACCUAAAUGAUGUUGGACCUCA